rnacentral:rRNA from 1 species
GAUGAACGCUGGCGGCGUGCCUAAUACAUGCAAGUCGAGCGAACGGACGAGAAGCUUGCUUCUCUGAUGUUAGCGGCGGACGGGUGAGUAACACGUGGAUAACCUACCUAUAAGACUGGGAUAACUUCGGGAAACCGGAGCUAAUACCGGAUAAUAUUAUGAACCGCAUGGUUCAAAAGUGAAAGACGGUCUUGCUGUCACUUAUAGAUGGAUCCGCGCUGCAUUAGCUAGUUGGUAAGGUAACGGCUUACCAAGGCAACGAUGCAUAGCCGACCUGAGAGGGUGAUCGGCCACACUGGAACUGAGACACGGUCCAGACUCCUACGGGAGGCAGCAGUAGGGAAUCUUCCGCAAUGGGCGAAAGCCUGACGGAGCAACGCCGCGUGAGUGAUGAAGGUCUUCGGAUCGUAAAACUCUGUUAUUAGGGAAGAACAUAUGUGUAAGUAACUGUGCACAUCUUGACGGUACCUAAUCAGAAAGCCACGGCUAGCUACGUG